AAAUCUGUGGUUCAGGGGUAGAACUUCUGCUUUUGGCAUGCAGAAGAUCCCGAGUUCUAUUCCUGGUAGGGUUG
rnacentral:tRNA from 1 species